CCUACGGGAGGCAGCAGUAGGGAAUAUUGCUCAAUGGGGGAAACCCUGAAGCAGCAACGCCGCGUGGAGGAUGAAGGUUUUAGGAUUGUAAACUCCUUUUGUGAGAGAAGAUAAUGACGGUAUCUCACGAAUAAGCCCCGGCUAACUACGUGCCAGCAGCCGCGGUAAUACGGAGGGUGCAAGCGUUACUCGGAUUCACUGGGCGUAAAGAGUGCGCAGGCGGGGUUGUAAGUCAGAUGUGAAAUGCUGUAGCUUAACUACAGAACUGCAUUUGAAACUAUGAGGCUAGAGUGCGGGAGAGGUAGGUGGAAUUCUUGGUGUAGGGGUGAAAUGCGUAGAUAUCAAGAGGAAUACUGAUUGCGAAGGCGACCUACUGGAACAUUACUGACGCUGAUGCACGAAAGCGUGGGGAGCAAACAGGAUUAGAUACCCUAGUAGUC
rnacentral:rRNA from 1 species